ensembl:lincRNA
CAAGCUGAAUUCCCUGUGUGGUUUCUGAGGCUAACAUUUCCCAUGGCAGGCACACCCAGAGCAUCCUCUGCAACAACCUCUGAAGCAGCUGUCAGCAGCAGCCCUGGGACAGCAAGCACUGGAGCCCCAGGUUCUGACUCUGCAGGAACCACCACUGCUGGUUCACUGGGGACAACCAAACCAUCCACCUCUGUCAGCAGAGAACCAGGAACCAUAAACAGUUCUGGAGGAUCCACUACUGUGAGUCCUGAAACAUCCACUGGAUCAGUCACAACCUCUGUGAGCAGCAGUGCAGGUAAUGGAGAGAGAGAGAGAGAGAGAGAGAGAGAGAGAGAGAGAGAGAGAGAGAUGUGUGUCUUGGGUGUGUGUGACUGAAGUAAGAAUAUAAUUUCUAU